GGUCGGGUGGCGCAAUGGUAGCGCGUUGUCUUCCGGUCACGUGACUUAAAGUAUCAACUUCGAGUCAAUAUUCUAAGUUGGCAAAGGUUCUGGGUUCGAGUCCCAGCUCGAUCG